CAGCCGCCACGGUAAUACGGAGGGUGCAAGCGUUAAUCGGAUUUACUGGGCGUAAAGCGUGCGUAGGCGGCUUCUUAAGUCGGAUGUGAAAUCCCUGAGCUUAACUUAGGAAUUGCAUUCGAUACUGGGAAGCUAGAGUAUGGGAGAGGAUGGUAGAAUUCCAGGUGUAGCGGUGAAAUGCGUAGAGAUCUGGAGGAAUACCGAUGGCGAAGGCAGCCAUCUGGCCUAAUACUGACGCUGAGGUACGAAAGCAUGGGGAGCAAACAGGAUUAGAUACCCCUGUAGUCCCUGUCUCUUAUAC
rnacentral:rRNA from 1 species